rnacentral:pre_miRNA from 1 species
AUAUGAAUCACCUGGAGAUCUUAUUAAAAUGCAGAUUCUGACUUAGUAGUCAGAGCAAAGCCUGAAAAUCUUACAUUUCUAAUAUGCUCCCAGGUGAUGCUUCU